CUUGUGUUAAAUGACAGGGGCAAUACCAGAAGUCCAGAAAAAACUUGCUGUUAGGUAUGAAGUUCCAGCAGGCGAUAAAAUGUUCAUUGAAGCACGACACAAGAGCAGCACAUUCAAGAGUAUUUCAUCACUAAAUAUUUCUUCAUAACAAUUUAACAGUGUCUGUUUGAUGUAGG
rnacentral:lncRNA from 12 species